UACGAAGGGGGCUAGCGUUGUUCGGAAUUACUGGGCGUAAAGCGCGUGUAGGCGGGUCUUUAAGUCAGGGGUGAAAUGCCAAGGCUCAACCUUGGAACUGCCUUUGAUACUGGAGAUCUUGAGUCCGGAAGAGGUAAGUGGAACUGCGAGUGUAGAGGUGAAAUUCGUAGAUAUUCGCAAGAACACCAGUGGCGAAGGCGGCUUACUGGUCCGGAACUGACGCUGAGGUGCGAAAGCGUGGGGAGCAAACAGGAUUAAGAAACCCUUG
rnacentral:rRNA from 1 species